rnacentral:rRNA from 1 species
GAUGAACGCUGGCGGCGUGCUUAACACAUGCAAGUCGAACGGUGAAGCUCCAGCUUGCUGGCGUGGAUCAGUGGCGAACGGGUGAGUAACACGUGAGCAACCUGCCCCUGACUCUGGGAUAACAGCCGGAAACGGCUGCUAAUACCGGAUAUGCACCAUGAACGCAUGUUCUGUGGUGGGAAAGAUUUUUCGGUUGGGGAUGGGCGCGCGGCCUAUCAGCUUGUUGGUGAGGUAAUGGCUCACCAAGGCGUCGACGGGUAGCCGGCCUGAGAGGGUGACCGGCCACACUGGGACUGAGACACGGCCCAGACUCCUACGGGAGGCAGCAGUGGGGAAUAUUGCACAAUGGGCGAAAGCCUGAUGCAGCAACGCCGCGUGAGGGAUGACGGCCUUCGGGUUGUAAACCUCUUUUAGCAGGGAAGAAGCGAGAGUGACGGUACCUGCAGAAAAAGCGCCGGCUAACUACGUG